UUUAAGUGCAACCAUAAGUUUCCGUACCUAAAUUUGAUCGUCCAUCUUAUUUGAAUUUUUUUAUAAUUAGUAUUUUUGUUGUUAUGAGAUGAUAAAAUAUGAAUAAUACUUUACUUGCGACUUAUGUUUAUAAAUUUUUUUAUAAAAAUUUCAAAUAAAACAGAUGGUCAAAAUUGGACGUGGAAAACCAUAGCUACACUUAAA
rfam:Oryza glumipatula chromosome 1, whole genome shotgun sequence.